UAGUAGCGGCGAGCGAAGCGGGAAGAGCUCAAAUUUGUAAUCUGGCGUCCUCCGGGCGUCCGAGUUGUAAUCUAUAGAGACGUUUUCCGUGCCGGACCGUGUCCAAGUCCCUUGGAACAGGGUAUCAAAGAGGGUGACAAUCCCGUACUUGACACGACGACCGGUGCUCUGUGAUACGUUUUCUACGAGUCGAGUUGUUUGGGAAUGCAGCUCAAAAUGGGUGGUAAAUUCCAUCUAAAGCUAAAUAUAGGCGAGAGACCGAUAGCGAACAAGUACCGUGAGGGAAAGAUGAAAAGCACUUUGGAAAGAGAGUUAAACAGUAUGUGAAAUUGUUGAAAGGGAAACGAUUGAAGUCAGUCAUGUCCAUUGGAUUCAGCUGGUUCUGCCAGUGUAUUUCCUUUGGACGGGUCAACAUCAGUUUGAGCCGGCGGAUAAUGGCAGAGGGAAUGUGGCACCCCCGGGUGUGUUAUAGCCCUUUGUCGCAUACGUCGGCCCAGACUGAGGAAUGCAGCUCGCCUUUAUGGCCGGGGUUCGCCCACG
rnacentral:rRNA from 1 species